CUAUUCAAGAAGGAAUGCUCUUCUUCAGUGCUGUCUGUGCUGGUGUAGUUUCCUAAACUAGACCUCAGUCUCUGGACUGACCUCCUGGCUUGACUUCAUCUACUAUUAAAACCCAGCUUGGUAAUUAUUAGACCUGAUCUUAAUGCUAGCCUGUGGACUGGUUUCCUGCCUGGCAUCAGACAUGCUUUAUUGCCAGGAGAUUGCCUUAUGAUCUGGACUUUUGUCUGAACUUGGCUGUUGCUGGACCUUCUCUUCCUGAAUACCCUUGGAGCUAGGCCUUGACCAGUGAGGACUCCCCUCUUCUUGCUGUGGGAUACCUUUUGUGGCCAAGCCUGAUUUUGCUACAGCUGAUGCAUGGAGGUUUCUGCAAGGCUUCCCAGCAGCCUUACUGUGGGUGAGCCUACGGUGUGAUGCCUGGGAACAAUGAGACGGUGAGGAAGGGCAUGCUGUUCUUCCUCACAGAUUAUCUCAUCCAGUGAGAACCACUGGGCUCUCCUAUAGGUUUUUCAUGUAUUUGCUUUCAGCAAAAAAUCUUUCUGUGGACCUCAUGAACCGAGCCCUACACCUCUUUGAGGCACAGAAGAGCUGGAGCAGCUGGGGAUGAGCACCUGCUGUUCCAGGAGCUGGUGCCCAUGUGCCCUGAAAUGCUGCUACAAGGGCCCCACCAGGAGGCGAGGCACGUGGGGUUCCUGUGUCCUGUUGUCUGUCACAUGUGUGACUGCAUUUUGGAAGUGGUGCUUGAAAUAGAAUGCUCCACAUCCAGCUUGUCAGGGGAGCUGUGCCAAGGUUAAGAUAACUCUCAACCUGAUUAUGAGUUAAUUGGUACACAGGAGACCAACUCCCAGCCAAUUGGAGGCACACGAUGUACAUGGAAAUGGGAUGAGAGGCUUCUAAAAGAGGAGGUAAAGAAAGUGCACUGCAUUCAAAAUCCAUUAGCAGGAGCUUCAGCCAACCUCAAGCAGUCAUUUCUAAUGCAGCCAAAGGAAGGCAUGUCCAUGAGUUAGCUGACUACACAGUGGCUGCCUUGUCUCUCCCAGAGAGCAAAGAAAUGAAGCACAGCACGUUUUAGGAAGUGUUUGUGUAGGGUGGAUGGAUUUUGAUGGCUGCUGCAGGAGUGGAGUAUUGGUUGUCACUGUGGAAAUGCAUUGCUGGGGUUUAGAUUUUAGUGUGUCAUGCUUUCAUCAGGUAAAAGUAGUUUGUAGGCUUGGAAUAAGAGUUUAGCAAAGGUGGAGAGACAGAAGUGAAAAUUUGCAGGAAAAAGGCAAAAUCUAAUGGGUGGUGACAUCUAUUAAAUAAUAUUUUUCAGUUUUCCUAGGUGAGGAUAGUGGAAUGAUCAGGGCUUCUAUGCGUGAUUUUUCUAAUGAAGAAAAGUUAAUGAAGCAUGCUACAUGUUUUACAAAGACCAUAUGGCCUAUUUUGACUCUUAAAAGCUUAACUAUCUAAAUAUAUUAACUAUCUACAUUAUUGAAAAGAACGUUUAUUGUGUGUGUGUGGGGGGGGUGUGUUUGUUUGUUUUGGUGGUUUGUAGGGGUUUUUGUGUUUUUUUUUUUUGGUCCAUUUUGGUGGAUGACUAAAUAAAGCUAUUGCUGCUCUUCA